UCUAGAAGAGCAGGUUGUGCAGUAGAUUUAAGUUUUACGGGUGUACUAGAU
rnacentral:tRNA from 1 species